ensembl:lncRNA
CAAUGACUUUGCAUUACUUAAAUGAUUCCCUGCUCCACCAAAUCUCCUAGGAAAGAAAGAGUUGUAGUACUGAAACUCCACAGUAAGUCUUUGGGAGCUUAGCUGUGGCUUUACACAGAGAGUUUCAAAGAGUUGUAGCUCAAAAGAAAUGGAGGUCAUAUGACAAUAUUAAUGUCCUGCACAGAUUAGCUUUGACAAUGAUAGCUACAUUCAUCUUUUCUUUUACCUGCACAUCUUCUAGAGAAUUCUUAGCUCAAGACAACUUGGUAUAAGAACCUAUGGAAGCUCAUCAGUGAGAGACAGAAAAUAAGCUGGAUUGGAAUAAAAUCUAGGAAACAGCAAGUCCAGACAGUGGAAGCAUUCCGGUUACAAAUGAAACAUCCACAUGGAACAGGAGUGCAGUCAGCAUCACAGGCUGGACCAACCUGACACCACCUGCAGUCUUCCAACUUGCCCCCCCUCCACCAUGCCCUUUGCUGUCGCCAACAGAAUGGAACAAAGAGGGACUUCAGCGCCAUGUGCCAAGCACUUAAUACGUGAUUCCUCUGCUAACAUUAUAACCACUGAAGAGAUUCCUCUGCUAACAUUAUAACCACUGAAAAUAUGCAAGAGAGCAUCUUGCAUAUUUUGAUAUGCCUGACACUGGCAAGAAGUGCUCAAUAAACAUUUGUUUAUUCAAAAUAAAGUAAUGAAUAAGAGGAUGUGCUAAGCAGCAAAGUCCAUCUCUAGAAGUACCAAUAAAAGUGGAGUUCUUGGUAUGAAUUUCUGUACAAGGAAAUCUGUAUUGAAUUCUGUACAAUAUUGUACGAAGAAUCCAUUUUAGAGCCUCUCAAAUGCUGUUUUAUUUGCUAAUUACAGAAGAUCAGGGGCCUGGAAUUUAGUCAAAGUCCCUAACUUUUUAAAAAGUCUAUUAAUUUUGAGAUUGCUUUAUGUAAUAGGUAGAAAUUUAUAAUAGUACACAAAAUAUAAUAGUUUCUCUACAUAUUCCUAUGGUGGGGAGGGGCCUCUAUGAUGUAUUAUUAAACAAAACCAAAUCAAGGUGAAGAAAUGUAUUUGAAAAAAGGGAUGCAAAAGUGUGUGUGUUUGGUUUGCUUAUUUCAAAAAGUCAUAGAAAAAUUGAAAAAAAUAAAAAGGUAACCUGUGGGAGGAAGAAAGAAAGAGGAUACGGAGGAUUGAGAUUAGAAGUUAGAAAUGUUUAAAUACUGCUUGUUUUAUACCCUUGAUCUUGGGAUAAAAUACAUAUUUAACAUAAUUAGAAAAUAAAAAAUAUAAAGGCAGUUCCUAAAACUAGAAAUCAUAAUGAAAUAAAAGAACUUAACUGUGUGUUGAGCUGGUGGCACUGCCAUACAUAGGAUAAUUAUUUCUCGUGCUUUUAAAACGUUUAUUAUACUGAAUAUCUCUAGUAAGAUACACGCUGAGGACAGUAGAUUUUACAUAUAUGGAAAACAUGUAUCUCUACAUUUGUGGCAGGUUUGGUAGUUAUUCUGGACUGUCAUGAAUUUUAUAAUUUCAAAAAUUAGUACUUAUUUUGCUGGUAUUGGGAACCAAGAUUUUUGAUGAAAGAAUGAAGUAUAGAUAUAAGCUUGAACAAACUAAUUUAAAAACUUAAUAGCCCAAGAAAGCUUAUUUUGAAAUACCAUAAACUUAUGUGUUUUAUCUUCAAACAAACAUACUAAAAUAAACAUGCACUUAUGUGUGUUGACAGACACAAAUGUACAUAUGUACACACACAUACAUACAUGUAUGCAUAUAUUUUCCCUUCUGAUUCUGUGUAAAGACCUAAAAAUUAUGGCCCAUCUAGGAGCAUUGAACACGCCUAUCAUACAGAAUAUGGUCUCAAAUACCAGGACUCUUUGAGAGUUGAUGACAGAAAUUGUACCAGAUGAGCUUGUAGCAUUUCAUCAGACCAGAAAGCAAGAAAGUUAUCAAAGACUAUGUUGCUAUAUUAUUUACUCACAUAUUCUGGAAGCAAGUAAAAAUAAUUUUUAUUAGUCGUUUUUUAUUUAUAAUAGUUUCUUCUUCCAUUUAGUGUGGUGCACACAUAAAUGCAUUUCAUGAAUUUAUAGUGAAUAAAUAUAAACAUCACUACAUUUGGAGGAAGGAAAAAGGAAAACCACCAAAAGCUCAUUUAGACAAUUCAAAACUACUCUUUACAUCUGGCAUAUAAGCUACUGAGAACCACUCCCUUAAAAUCAUUGUUAUAUGCUGUUAAUUAACUUGAAGUCUUGACUAUUCUUUGGCUUUUCCUUUCUGCUUUUGUUUCAAAUAAAUAUUAUUUCCGUUUGUUCUUGUUUUGCUCACUUUCUAUGCUUUGCUUUUUAAUACUAAGUUAACUAAGCAUAGGUAAUUUUUAUGUUUUUUACUAAAAUCAAUAGAAGGUUUAUGUUGCCUUUAAUAGAAUAAAUGCAGAAGAAAAUGGAUGAAACUAGAAUAUUUCAAUUAUAGAAUUUAUAAGGUGUAUUAAAACCUUCCACAAUUUUACAUUUUUCUACUUUCUCAAAAGUUACAUUUAAAAAAUAUGUUUGAUAUUUUAUUAAUUGGUACAUAAAUGUUUACAAUUGUUAUCUUUUAUUGCAGACUGUGCUGUGAGUAGUAUAAAAUAAGCAGCUUUUUCCAUUUAAUGUUUCUCACCUUGAAUUAUUUCACUUAUGCCCUCAUUGUCCUGCCAUAUUUCUCAGAUUGUACUUUGCAUUCUGUCCAGUCAGCAAAUUUGAUGAUGUAAUUGCAGAGAUAGUUUUCCUCUGUCUA